rfam:Triticum urartu cultivar G1812 contig4937, whole genome shotgun sequence.
ACAGCUAUAGGUUAAUGGUAGACUACUCGGUUUCCACCCGAUUUGCACUGGUUCAAGUCCAGUUGGCUGUA